rnacentral:lncRNA from 1 species
UUCCACUUUCUCUCUCCUCUCUGGUGACUGGCUUCCAAAACGCCUGAAGCAUUAAAUCCUUGUUGGACAUCUCUGAGCCCAAAGCUGGAAAACUCUCAGCAUCUAGGCCCCCACUUGCCUUGGGAAUGACAAGCCCUCACCCUGAUCUGCCAUCUCAGCUGAACACUUCCUGUCUCCUCAAGGAAACUUAGUAUCUACCUUUCUCUUCCUCUCACUUCCCAAACUGCUCAGAAAACGGCGGGGGGGAAGAAAACCCACCUGGGGGUCUCAGAGCCUUGGUCGGCACGUGGAGAGGUAACGUGAAUUUCCCCUAUAUUCAAGAGAAAAGGAAGAAGGUCUGGGAGCUCACCUGAAAUGCCAGGCUCACUUUUAGUAACUGCUGGCAUCCAGUGCGGCAGGGGCCGAGCGCUCCAGUGCUGGGAGCUGAAAGAACAGUCACCCCUGCCCAGGAAAUAACCACUGAGCCAACCAUCAUGCCCUGAUUACCGUCCUCAGGGAAAGCCUACCGGUCCCUCUAAAGCACCCUCGUCCCAUUCUCAAACCCCCUGUGGAAAUCAGAAGCCAAACCUAGCUUUACAAUGUCAGGUCUCUUCGCUAGAGCUCUGGUCACGCCCCUCUUCCUGGAGUACUCCAAUCACACUUGGCGCCCAGAAACUGCCGCUGCCGCUGACCUUGGGCAGACUGCGCCCUCCCUCUAGCCUCGGCUCCCCCUCCGCUCAGAGCCUUUCUCUUCGCCCACCUCCUCACGGAGCCCCACGCACGUCUGUAACUUAAAGGACGCUAAAGUUUGCAGCCC